rnacentral:rRNA from 1 species
AGCGAACGCUGGCGGCAGGCCUAACACAUGCAAGUCGAACGGUGAAGGCGGAGCUUGCUCUGCUGGAUCAGUGGCGAACGGGUGAGUAACACGUGAGCAAUCUGCCCCUGACUCUGGGAUAAGCGCUGGAAACGGCGUCUAAUACUGGAUACGAGCUGCGACGGCAUCUUCAGCAGCUGGAAAGAACUUCGGUCAGGGAUGAGCUCGCGGCCUAUCAGCUUGUUGGUGGGGUAACGGCUCACCAAGGCGUCGACGGGUAGCCGGCCUGAGAGGGUGACCGGCCACACUGGGACUGAGACACGGCCCAGACUCCUACGGGAGGCAGCAGUGGGGAAUAUUGCACAAUGGGCGAAAGCCUGAUGCAGCAACGCCGCGUGAGGGACGACGGCCUUCGGGUUGUAAACCUCUUUUAGCAGGGAAGAAGCGAAAGUGACGGUACCUGCAGAAAAAGCGCCGGCUAACUACGUG